GAGGGUACAGCUCAAGUGGUAGAGCCCAUGCUUAGCAUGCACGAGGUCCUGGGUUCAAUCCCCAGUACCUCCA
rnacentral:tRNA from 1 species